AUGACCAUCAAGCUUUUAACACCUGCUAAUUUCCAUUGGGCCAAAUCCAUUCUGCAGUCACAGUUCUGGCAGCUAAUUCAGCAAGGCUGUGCGGGAGGAAUCUCUAGGGAAUUUGCUCUAAACCAUGCAGAGUCGGCGUCCGUUGGUAAAUAUACUUACGCCGAACACCCGAGCAGCAAUUAUAAAGGGAUAUGCAUUGCAAUCAUAGACGACGACGCCUGCAAUCGUGUAUCCCUUGACGAAAGCAGCAAGAACUGUAACGGCUUCUGUCACUAUUACGCAUGCUGGUGCCAAGGCGUUUGCAUCUCUGAGACUGAGACUCAAGCUGUUGCUAGUGUUCCGAUCCGACAAUGA
rnacentral:rRNA from 1 species